GUCAGAAUCAACUAGUAUGGGUGCAUCUUAUUCUAAGAGUCUCAUCAAACUGCUUCUGGGGAUUGACAUACUACAGGUUCGCCAGUUGGUGAUUGAUAAGUUGUCGUCUAUUGGAGGAUUUACCUGUGAUAAUAAAGUUCAUUCUUCAUUCCAUAACAGCCAUGGAUGCACUUGAGGUAAUUUCUGAGCUUCGGGAGAAGUUGGAUCUGCAACAUUGUGUUUUGCCAUCACAGUUACAGGCUUCCCAAGUAAAAUAGAAAAGUAAAGGACGAGCAAGGAAAUCAAGAAAGCAGCGGUCAGAGCUGCAUUAUUCUCCUUUUUGAUGUAAUAAAGUCAGCUAUUAGAUAUGAGAAAACCAUUUCAGAAGCCUGUGUUAAGGCAAUUGAAGACAUGGCCUCAGUGUCUGAACACAAGGUGAUAUUCAUGUACUAUGCAUUUUAAGUAUUGCAGACUUGAGGCCGGGUGCGGUGGCUCAUGCCUGUAAUCCCAGCACUUUGGGAGGUCAAGGCAGGCAGAUAACGA